rnacentral:rRNA from 1 species
AUUGAACGCUGGCGGCAUGCCUAACACAUGCAAGUCGAACGAGUGGCGGACGGGUGAGUAAUUUAUUGGAACGUGCCUAAUCGAGGGGUAUAACGACUCGAAAACGUGGCUAAUACCGCUUACCACCCGAUCGGCCGAGAUGGGAUUAGCUUGUUGGUGGGGUAAAGGCUCACCAAGGCGACGAUCCCUAGCUGGUCUGAGAGGAUGACCGGCCACACUGGGACUGAGACACGGCCCAGACUCCUACGGGAGGCAGCAGUGGGGAAUAUUGGACAAUGGGCGAAAGUCUGAUCGAGCCACGCCGCGUGUAUGAAGAAGGCCUUCGGGUUGUAAAGUACUUUUGGCAGAGAAGCGGUAGCUGCAGAAGAAGCAACGGCUAACUACGUGCCAGCAGCCGCGGUAAUAC